rnacentral:rRNA from 1 species
CCUACGGGGGUCAGCAGUGGGGAAUAUUGGACAAUGGGCGAAAGCCUGAUCCAGCCAUGCCGCGUGUGUGAAGAAGGCCUUCGGGUUGUAAAGCACUUUCAGUGGGGAAGAAAGCCUUGGGGCUAAUACCCUCGAGGAAGGACAUCACCCACAGAAGAAGCACCGGCUAACUCCGUGCCAGCAGCCGCGGUAAUACGGAGGGUGCGAGCGUUAAUCGGAAUUACUGGGCGUAAAGCGCGCGUAGGCGGUCUGAUAAGCCGGUUGUGAAAGCCCCGGGCUCAACCUGGGAACGGCAUCCGGAACUGUCAGGCUAGAGUGCAGGAGAGGAAGGUAGAAUUCCCGGUGUAGCGGUGAAAUGCGUAGAGAUCGGGAGGAAUACCAGUGGCGAAGGCGGCCUUCUGGACUGACACUGACGCUGAGGUGCGAAAGCGUGGGUAGCAAACAGGAUUAGAUACCCGUGUAGUC